CCUACGGGUGGCAGCAGUAGGGAAUAUUGCUCAAUGGGGGAAACCCUGAAGCAGCAACGCCGCGUGGAGGAUGAAGGUUUUCGGAUUGUAAACUCCUUUUGUUAGAGAAGAUAAUGACGGUAUCUAACGAAUAAGCACCGGCUAACUCCGUGCCAGCAGCCGCGGUAAUACGUAGGGUGCAAGCGUUACUCGGAAUCACUGGGCGUAAAGAGCGCGUAGGCGGGGUAGCAAGUCAGAUGUGAAAUCCUAUGGCUUAACCAGAGAACUGCAUUUGAACCUGUUAUUCUAGAGUAUGGGAGAGGUAGGUGGAAUUCUUGGUGUAGGGGUAAAAUGCGUAGAGAUCAAGAGGAAUACUCAUUGCGAAGGCGACCUGCUAGAACAUAACUGACGCUGAUGCGCGAAAGCGUGGGGAGCAAACAGGAUUAGAUACCCUUGUAGUC
rnacentral:rRNA from 1 species